CUUAGCAGUAACCCAAGUGUGUCACUGAGGAACGGAGGCCACUUCCUGCCCGACAAGCACCACACACUGCUCGCCGGCUGCGGAGGCCACCGAUGGGGCACCAGUAAUGAAUGAAUGUUAGCUCAGAGAAGGCAGUGACUGGAACAUCUGAGAUCUAACUGUUACCGCAAGAAGGAGUACCAUCUCUUUCAACGGACCCACACAACGGUUCUCACAACCCUCCUCAAGAGCCACCCUGUCCCUCCACAUACUGAAGGCACACACGCUUCUGCUUCUGAACUAACCUGAAAGUCUGUAUCCCGGUCUGCAAACAAGGUCACGAAGAGAUCAAAGCCACAGAGCCCGCCUAAUCGCCCUGAGUCUUUUCACUGAGAAUGAGCUAAAAUAAAGUCCUGGAGAUUUAUGGAGUAAGAGCUUUAUGCAGACCCUGCUGGACGGCUAGGAUGCCUGAGCUGCUAAUAAAACAGGAGGUCCUUCUCUGGGGGGAGCGAGGGGAGCUCCCUCGGGGUGAGGAUGCAGGUCGGGGUGAGGAUGGGGGACUGGGUCGCUGAGGGGCAAGAAGAGGGGGUCCCAUUUGCAGGAGGCGGGCGGUGCUAACUUAAAAACUAAAUCCAACAGAAACCAAAUCUCCAUCAACAGACUCUUGUGACUAAAGGGCCAAAACCAUAAAACAAAAUAAAAACAACCUCUUUGCUUAUAUUUGACUUAAUAUACUUUAGAAUUUCUCAUCAUGUUUUAAAGGCAUUUUAAUAUUAGUUCUAGGUAGUAAUGCUUAUAAAUGAAGGAAACUGGCAAAGGCAAAAGAAUGCUUUUGUCUAUACAUCCAAAUUAUAUGUGCAGAAUGUACCACAGUCUUAGGAACUAGGACAGUCAUAAAGAAGAUUUCUGAGUUAGUGAAAAUCUGAAAUUUAGAACAUGCAAAACAGUGUUUCCAUUUUCAAGUACAGUCACUAUACUCUUAAAACACCCCAAUUUAAAAAUGGGCAAAGGAUCUGAAUAGACAUUUCUACAAGGAAGAUAUACAAAUCGCCAGUAAACACAUGAAAAGAUGCUCACCAUCAUCCGUCAUGAGGAAAAUGCAAAUUGAAACCACCGUGAAACACCACUUCACAUCCACCAGGAUGGUUGCGAUAAAAAAGAUGAACAAGCGUGGAGAAGGAUAUGGAGAAAUCAGAACCUGGUACAUUGCUGGUAGGAUUGUAAAACAGUACAACUGCUCUGGAAAAUAGUUUGGCAGUUCCUCAGAAUGUUAAAUACAGUUUAUCAUAUGACCCAGCAAUUCCACUGCCUGGCAUACACCCAACAGAACCAAAAGCUUAUGUUCAUAAAAAAACAUGUACAAGAAUGUUUAUAGCAACAUCAUUCAUAAUAGCUAAAAACCGAAAACAAUCCCAAUGUCCUCCAACUAACAAAUGGAUUAAAAAAAUGUGGUAUAUCCACAAAACAAUUAAACAAUUGUUUAAUUAAACAAUUAAACAAUUAAACAAUUUUAUUGCACAAAGGCAAUAAAAAGGGAUGAAGCAGGAUGGAUGAAUCUUGAAAACAUUACAUUAAGUAAAACAAGUCAGUCACCAAGGCUACAUAUUAUAUGAUUCCAUUUACAUGAGAGGUCCAGAAUGGACAAAUUCACAGUGACAGGAAGUAGAUCAGUGGUUGCCAGGAGCCGGGAGGAAAGGAGGAAUAAAGGGUGACUGCUAGUGUAUGUGGGGUUUCUUUUUGGGGUGAUAAGACGUUUUAGAAUGAGAUAAUAGUUGGUGAUGACUGCAUAAUAACCCUGUAAAUAUACUUAAAACCACUGAAUUGUACACUUUAAAAUGUAUUUUGGGCUUCCCUGGUAGCGCAGUGGUUAAGAAUCCACCUGCCAAUGCAGGGGACACGGGUUCAAGCCCU